GCCUCAUUGGCUCAGAAGAAGAGCGUCUGUCUUGUGAACAGAAGGCUUUUGUAAACAAAGGGUCGCUGAUUCGAUUCCAGCAUGAGGCA
rfam:Angiostrongylus cantonensis strain Taiwan genome assembly, scaffold: ACAC_scaffold0004321